ACACUUACUCUUCCACUAGCUCCGGCUUCCAGAUGUCUCUGUCGGUGGCGCAGCCCAAAAGCGCGCGCAGCCCAGGAGCGUCUCGGAGCUGCACCAGGAUGGGGAUCAAACUGUUGAAAUAAAUCAACCUAACGAGGCCGCCAGGAAGGACCGACUACAGAGAUUCGUCCUGCCCAGACAUUUUGUACUCGCUUCUUGACCCCUUCCUCAAAAUGGACGGUAGAUGAAAACUCACUAUGCUGCCCAGACUCGUCUCGAACUCCUGGGUGUCACGCGUGUCCGUAUAGAAGACCACCUAAACAGGCUUUGUGGUAACUUCCUGACGUUGCCAUGGCAUCUGUAAACUGUGAUGGAGCUGGUGGGAGUGUAGCAAUGAGGACCACCAGAGGUCACUCUCGUCGCCAUCCUGGUUUUGGUGGGUUUUGGCCGGCUCCUUUACUGCAACCUGUUUUAUCAGCAAGGUCUUUAUGACCUGUAUCUUGUGCCGACCUCCUAUCUCAUCCUGUGACUUAGAAUGCCUUCAUCAUUUGGGAAUGCAGCCCGGUAGGUCUCAGCCUCAUUUUCUCCACCUCCUACUCAAGAUGGAGUUGCUCUGGUUCAAAUGCCUCUGACAAAAUGUCUACGGAGGCCGGGCGCGGUGGCUCAUGCCUGUAACCCCAGCACUUUUGGAGGUUGAGGCGAGUGGGUCAUGAGGACAGGAGUUCAAGACCAGCCUGGCCAACAUGGUGAAACCCCCAUCUCUACUAAAAAUACAAAAAUUAGCUGAGCGUGGCGGUGGGCACCUGUAAUCCCAGCUACUCAGGAGACUGAGGCAAGAGAAUCAUUAGAACCUGAGAGGCAGAGGUUGCAGUGAGCUGAGAUCAUGCCAUUGCAUUCCAGCCUGGGCAACAAGAGCGAAACUCCAUCUCAAAAGAAAAAAAAAUGUCUAUGGGAGGUGGGCAGUCUCCCAUAGCUGGGACAUCAGCGGUCUGUGGUGACAGCCUGUCAUCCCUCUGUCCCUUCACUAACCCCUCCCCUAGGAGCCUUUCAGUGCUGGGAACUGGCCCUAGCGUUCAGCUACCCCACACCACAUUCCCAGGUUCCUAGCUCUUCAGCCCUGUUGUCUGCAUGCCUCUGUAUCAACUCUUGGUGUUUUUCCUACGAAGAUCUUCUCUAAGUCUGUUGGUUUAUCCAAUAUCUUGGUUUCUCUUGGUGGGAGUGGUGCUUCUGGGCUGUGUCCAGUCAGGCAUCUUGACCCUCCUCUAGGCAUGAUUUUGAAAAUUUAAUCUGUUCCCUGACUUCCUGGAAACAUAAGCUGGCUGGGAAAUGGGCUUGCGAGACAUUGUGACAUCCCGAGGAGACUUCUCCUCAUUGGGAGGGAUCAGAGGCUGCCCUUGCUCUUCUCCCUUUUGUCUCUUGUGAGAUGUGAAGCUUCAUGUGAAUAUUGUGUGGAGCCAACACCAUGGAAGGCAAGGUGGACACCUGGAGAAACGUUCCUUCCCUGUGGUGUUUUUGGAGCUCAUGGAUCAGCCUCCCUAGGGUUCACGUGUUGAAAUCCUAACUCCAAAUAUGAUGAUAGGAGGAGAUGGGGCCUUCGGGAGGUGAUGAGGUCAUGAGGGUGGAAUCCUCAUGAAUGGUCUCAACGCCCUUAGAAAAGAGACCCCAGAGACCUCGCUCCCGCUUUCUACUGUGGGAGAAUGCAGCAAGAAGUCAGCCGUCUAUGAACAAGGAAGCAGGUCCUCUCCAGGCACUGAAUGUACCAGUGCCUUGAUCUUGGACUUCCCAGCCUCCAGAACUAUGACAAUAAAUUCUGUUGUUUAAGCU
rnacentral:lncRNA from 1 species